rnacentral:rRNA from 1 species
ACAGGGUGACAGGUGGUGCAUGGUUGUCGUCAGCUCGUGUCGUGAGAUGUUGGGUUAAGUCCCGCAACGAGCGCAACCCCUAUUGUUAGUUGCCAUCAUUCAGUUGGGCACUCUAGCGAGACUGCCGGUAAUAAACCGGAGGAAGUGGGAUGACGUCAAAUCAUCAUGCCCCUUAUGACCUGGGCUACACACGUGCUACAAUGGUUGGUACAACGAGUUGCGAGUCGGUGACGGCGAGCUAAUCUCUUAAAGCCAAUCUCAGUUCGGAUUGUAGGCUGCAACUCGCCUACAUGAAGUCGGAAUCGCUAGUAAUCGCGGAUCAGCACGCCGCGGUGAAUACGUUCCCGGGCCUU